rnacentral:lncRNA from 1 species
AGGGCACUAAGAGGGGAGGACUCUCCUGAGUUCUCUACCUGAGCCCUAGACUAGUAGCUGCUCCUCCUAUACUUCCUACUAGUCUGUGCCUGGUUACUCCACUUCCCUGUUGCAAUUAACAAUUCCCUAGGUACACUUUUCCUGUUCAAAUGACUGUGUGGCUUCUCUUUCCUAAUCGGACUCUGACCAAUACGCUAUCAUUUGCCAACAACUCCCAAAGUUUUAUCAGUGACUCAGACCUCUAACCUGAACUCCAGCUGCCUCCAUGACAUAUCCAUUUGGAUGUUUAAUGGACAUUUCCAAAGUGAUAUGCCCUACAGAACUCAGAAUCUUCCCUCUCAAACCAACUGCUCAGCAGUCUUAUGAUCUUAGUUGAUGGCAAUUCAGAAGUGAAUUGCAGGACACCCGGUUUGUAUCUGCAGAGAGAACUGGAGAACUGCUUAGUGUGGAAAACCCACACAUUUGGUUUCAGAAGUGUGUGAGUAGAAACAGUUUUCCUUUUAUGUUUGUUGGAUGGAUAAUGAUGAACCUAGCAGGACACAGAAAGCUAGGCAGCAGUGGAACUGAGAAUGAAGUUAUACUUAAUAGCAGAGAAUGAAAAAGAAAAGACAGAUAAAACAUUUUGAAGAAAGGACAGUAAUGUAUUCCCAACAGAUGUGCCGUUUGGGGGUGCUAAAGCUGGUGUUAAGAUCUAUCCCAAGAACUAUACC